AUACGUAGGUCCCGAACGUUGCGCGAAAUUACUGGGCGUAAAGGGUCCGUAGGCGGUCUGGUAAGUGGAAGGUGAAAGCCUGGGGCUCAACUCCAGAAUUGCCUUCCAAACUGCCGGACUUGAGGCAGGGAGAGGUCGGCGGAAUUCCCGGUGUAGCGGAGAAAUGCGUAGAUAUCGGGAGGAACACCAGUAGCGAAGGCGGCCGACUGGAACUGUCCUGACGCUGAGGGACGAAAGCCAGGGGAGCGAACCGGAUUAGAAACCCUAGUAGUCC
rnacentral:rRNA from 1 species